GAGACUGAAUUCCCUUAAAGUGCAAGUGAUGUUUGAGACAUUCUGCUGGAAUGGAGAACUGACCUUCAGGUUGAGGCAGCAUUUCCACAGUUCCUCCUGGCCCUAAUUAAUUACGCACAGAUGGUCCAAAGGGUUCAUUCAGCAGGAGAACCUCAGGCCUAGCAGCCGGUGCGAGCCCUGCAGCAGGAACAUGCAGAGAGAAAUGAGGCGGGAAGAACUGGCUCACAUGUUGCUGGAUAAUGUCUCUUGAGAAGGCCCUGGACUGCUGAGACCUCUCCAUUGCCCAGUCCAUAGUCAGAGAGGCCCCAGUAUCCCCAUACUGCCAACCAAGAGCUCUCUGCAUUGCAACAGUAACUCGUGCCCCAGCGCUUGCUCCCCCUAAACGUCUUGGAAGUCUCCAUCUGACAGCCAUGUGUCUUCACACAGAGUCUGCUAUGCAGUGAGGAUUUAAUAAGUGACCAGUAAGCGAUAGGAUGAAUGUCUAUUUGUUGGAUUGUGCAGUGAGGAGGAUAAAGGUCUACAAUCUUCAUGGAUCUAAGAACCGUCUCUCAAUCAUCGUGAUAUUGUUAGCACCCUAGAGUUGUUCUUCAGUAAAUAGCGAAUAAAUGCAUUCCUCAGAGAAACAUCUUUCAAUGCCUUAAAAAUAAAUUAAAUUUUAUUGUUGAA